rnacentral:ncRNA from 2 species
ACUAAGGGUAGAGGCGCAUUGUCUAUAAGUAGCAGGUUGGAGGGUGAUUCCAAUGAUGAUCUGCAAAAGGAGCCAAUGCCGAAGUAAGUAAGGAUUAUCACUCCUUCUUGCUGGGGUUGUCACCGAAUAGGGGCAACACUGCCAUAGUAUAUAAUUACAUUAACUAUGGAGCGCUACUGUGGGG